UCUCUCCAGCUCAUCCUCGGGGAUAGUGCUCUACAAAAGACAGAAAAUACAGUCUAAAUUAACUAUGACUAAACGCCUCCUGUAACAUCAGGCGCUAGACAGCUGAAUUACUUCUCGCUCAAAACGACUUUCACACUACAAACUGGUUGGUGCGCGACUGACUGUCCAUGAAAGAGAAAGUCAAAUCCUGUCCUGCACUGAAGUCAAGCCUCUGAACACCUCAACUCAUGCCUCACACCCUCAUUCAAUCACUGCUGUGAUCCCUUUCCGACACUGUGUACGAACUCCAGAGCUUCGGCGACAGGGCCUUCUCCAGGGUUGCUCCAAGGUUCUGAACCGCUCUCCCUCCCUCCAGCCAUCCAUGACUCUGAGUCCAUCACCAUCUUUCAGUCCUUCCUAAAGCCCCACCUAUUUGACAAGGUCUACCUGAUACAUCAUACUCUUUCCCUUCCUUGAGCCCACCCCUCACUUUGUUCAUGUUUUUGUUUAGUUUGAUGUUGUCUUGUUUUGACUACUGUUUUGUUUUUUUGUUUUGACAAUUGUAAAGCGGCUUUGGGUCCUUGAAAAGCACUACAUAGG
rnacentral:lncRNA from 1 species